AGAGUUUGAUCAUGGCUCAGGAUGAACGCUAGCGGUAGGCCUAACACAUGCAAGCCGAGGGGUAACAGUUACGAUUUAUCGUAAGCUGACGACCGGCGCACGGGUGCGUAACGCGUAUGCAACCUACCCUUAACAAUGGGAUAGCUCGAGGAAACUUGAAUUAAUACCAUAUAUACUUUAUUAUUUGCAUAAAUAAAAAAGGAAAGCUACGGCGGUUAAGGAUGGGCAUGCGUAGUAUUAGCUAGUUGGUGAGGUAAUGGCUCACCAAGGCGACGAUACUUAGGGGUUCUAAAAGGAAGAUCCCCCACACUGGUACUGAGACACGGACCAGACUCCUACGGGAGGCAGCAGUGAGGAAUAUUGGGCAAUGGAUGGAAGUCUGACCCAGCCAAUCCGCGUGCAGGAAGACGGUCGUUAAGAUUGUAAACUGCUUUUAUACGAGAAGAAACGUAGUUACGUGUAACUAUUUGACGGUAUCGUACGAAUAAGCAUCGGCUAACUCCGUGCCAGCAGCCGCGGUAAUACGGAGGAUGCAGGCGUUUAUCCGGAAUUUAUUAGGUUUAAAAGGGGUGCGUAGGCUGUUUCGAUAAGUCAGUGGUGAAAUCCUUGGGCUCAACCGAAGAAACUGCCAUUGAAACUGUCUAACUGGAAUACGGUUGAGGUAGGCGGAAUGUGUAAUGUAGCGGUGAAAUGCAUAGAUAUUACACAGAACACCAAUUGCGAAGGCAGCUUACUAAACCGUCAUUGACGCUGAUGCACGAAAGCGUGGGGAGCAAACAGGAUUAGAUACCCUGGUAGUCCACGCCGUAAACGAUGAUCACUAGUUGUGUGCGAUAUAAUGUACGUGACUGCGCGAAAGCAUUAAGUGAUCCACCUGGGGAGUACGUUCGCAAGAAUGAAACUCAAAGGAAUUGACGGGGGGCCCGCACAAGCGGAGGAACAUGUGGUUUAAUUCGAUGAUACGCGAGGAACCUUACCCGGGCUUAAAUUGCUAAUGACAGUAUAAGAGAUUAUACCUUCCUUCGGGACAUUAGUGAAGGUGCUGCAUGGCUGUCGUCAGCUCGUGCCGUGAGGUGUCGGGUUAAGUCCCAUAACGAGCGCAACCCCUAUCAUUAGUUACCAGCGAUUAAAGUCGGGGACUCUAAUGAGACUGCCACCGUAAGGUGAGAGGAAGGUGGGGAUGACGUCAAGUCAGCACGGCCCUUACGUCCGGGGCUACACACGUGUUACAAUGGCCGGUACAGAGGGCAGCUACCUGGUAACAGGAUGCGAAUCUCGAAAGCCGGUCUCAGUUCGGAUCGAAGUCUGCAACUCGACUUCGUGAAGUUGGAUUCGCUAGUAAUCGCGCAUCAGCCAUGGCGCGGUGAAUACGUUCCCGGGCCUUGUACACACCGCCCGUCAAGCCAUGGAAGCUGGGGGUACCUAAAGUCCGUAACCGCAAGGAUCGGCCUAGGGUAAAACCGGUAACUGGGGCUAAGUCGUAACAAGGUA
rnacentral:rRNA from 1 species